CAGUAGCCGCGGUAAUACGUAGGUGGCAAGCGUUGUCCGGAAUUAUUGGGCGUAAAGGGCUCGCAGGCGGUUUCUUAAGUCUGAUGUGAAAGCCCCCGGCUCAACCGGGGAGGGUCAUUGGAAACUGGGAAACUUGAGUGCAGAAGAGGAGAGUGGAAUUCCACGUGUAGCGGUGAAAUGCGUAGAGAUGUGGAGGAAUACCAGUGGCGAAGGCGACUCUCUGGUCUGUAACUGACGCUGAGGAGCGAAAGCGUGGGGAGCGAACAGGAUUAGAUACCCCAGUAGUCCCUGUCUCUUAUAC
rnacentral:rRNA from 1 species